CUCCGCCAUGUUGGGUAAGUCACGCCUUGCGAGAGCCCCAGGACAGCGCCUGCCGAGCCCAGCGGGGAUCCCCAGAUCAGCAAGGUUCUUCUCUCCCCAGGAGACAGAGAGCUGGAGUAUGGGGAUCGACCGGAGAGCACUCUGCUGUCAAUUUAGUGGGUCUUCACUAGGCCCGCUAAAUCAACUCCUGCUGCAUCGAAUGCAGCAGCGUGGAUCUCCCCAGCAGUGAACACAGGCCCUAAGUAGUAUACUUAUGGAGAGGAGACGUAUGGGGUAAGAGGUUGUGAGAGUGCGAUGGGAUGUAUAAACCUUUCAGUAGUCCAGAAGGAAUGAAAUACUGAGCCCAGAUAACCCCGUCCCUGCGGAUGCGCAGAGCAUGAGCCAGUUGGAGAGGAACCUUAAAAGUGAGCAACUCAGCUCAGAAGAGGAGGAAGACAGAUCUGUCCUGAGGACUCCUGAGAAAGGGGCUGAAGAAUCCUCACUGGGAGGAAGACAACUGCCUUAGUUGUGUGUGGAAACCAGACGUUUUGAUCACAACAGUAAAAUCAUUAGGCCUAUCAACAAAUAAUGAGCAACAUAUGAUUCAGGCACUGCUGUAUCAAAAACCUGUAAAACAAUAUACAUCAGUAUAGGCAAUUAUUUUUUCCAUGUGCUUUAAAAUUGAAUUACUUUCACUAAAAUGUCUUUCUUGCUGAGUAGGCUUCUAACUUUAACAAAAUGUGUCUUAAAGAGCUUAACACAAGCUUACAUUUAUGAUAUCCAACUAGUGGGCUGCAGUUUCCUUUCUGCUCUCAUUAAGAGGCAAGGGUAUAACACACAGCAAGAUUAAUUAUAUAAAAAGAAUUAUCUAAAUUGGAAAUGACAAAGUAAUUAAUAUGCUGGUGUUUCAUUUCUGUAACAACAAACCUGAGCUAAUUGAACUAAUUAUAGCUAUAGGUUCAUGAAUUUUAACCUGCUCAUGAUUAUGGUUAUAGUAAAAUUUUGUUAAUUGAA